AUGUGGUUUAAUUCGAAGCAACGCGAAGAACUUACCAGGUCUUGACAUCCCGAUGCUAUUUCUAGAGAUAGAAAGUUACUUCGGUACAUCGGUGACAGGUGGUGCAUGGUUGUCGUCAGCUCGUGUCGUGAGAUGUUGGGUUAAGUCCCGCAACGAGCGCAACCCCUAUUGUUAGUUGCCAUCAUUCAGUUGGGCACUCUAGCGAGACUGCCGGUAAUAAACCGGAGGAAGGUGGGGAUGACGUCAAAUCAUCAUGCCCCUUAUGACCUGGGCUACACACGUGCUACAAUGGUUGGUACAACGAGUUGCGAGUCGGUGACGGCGAGCUAAUCUCUUAAAGCCAAUCUCAGUUCGGAUUGUAGGCUGCAACUCGCCUACAUGAAGUCGGAAUCGCUAGUAAUCGCGGAUCAGCACGCCGCGGUGAAUACGUUCCCGGGCCUU
rnacentral:rRNA from 1 species